rnacentral:rRNA from 1 species
UACGUAGGGUCCGAGCGUUGUCCGGAAUUACUGGGCGUAAAGCGCACGUAGGCGGUUCGUUAUGUCGGAUGUGAAAGCCCUUGGCUUAACCGAGGAAGUGCAUCCGAAACUGGCGAGCUAGAGUACUAAAGAGGAUCGCGGAAUUCCCGGUGUAGAGGUGAAAUUCGUAGAUAUCGGGAGGAACACCGAUGGCGAAGGCAAUCCCCUGGGCCUGCACUGACGCUCAUGCACGAAAGCGUGGGGAGCAAACAGG